rnacentral:pre_miRNA from 1 species
AAGGUAUCUCUUCGUUCCACAAUACAUGUCUUCAAUUUGUCAAAAUAUAGAUGUAUCUAGACAUGUUUUAGUAUAUAGGUAUAUUCAUUUUUAGACAAAUAAAAGUCAAGUAUUUUGGAACAGAGGGAGUAGCAG